CUGAGGACCCCCAUGACCAACUGGACGAGGCCAUUAACGAGGCAAAAGGGCUGGCUGAGGAGCUCAACCCAGAACCAGUAAUGUAACAAGUCGUACAUUACCGCUCCAAGGGCCAGUACAUCAAGAGACAGACUAGUGCAACAUUUUGGGCCAGUCACUGAGGAGGAAGAAUCAGGUCGCUACAAUGUCACAGUGCCUGUGCUGACCUGCACAACCUGUCUUAGCACCUGGACAGCAAACUUAGCAGAUCUGAUAAAGAAUGGGCACUGGCCUGCCACUGUCAACUGUGACACCAUUUACCAGGUAGACCUGUUCAGCUCUUUUGAGGAGCUGAAAGUGUCAGCCCCAGGAAUGUCCCGUCUGGCAUUUAUGCGGAUUUUGGAGCAGCGAACUGACUUCUUUGGCAGGAACGGAAUGAUCUGUGGGGACACUUUUCAAAAAAGCUUCUUUGAGUGGACGUACUGCCGCUCUGAAAUUGAUCAGGUCUGUGAUAUACAGUACUUUGACUGCCUAGCCUGUUCACUCAUGCUUGCAGUGUCAGUGGACGGGAACAAGAAGCUGUAUCGUUUCAAAAAAGGGUAUGUAAAACUAUUCAUGAUUUAUCAAAUAAC
ensembl:lncRNA